GAAAGUUUGGGCUGGGGGCGGCACACCCUUCGAAAGAGCAGCGAAGGUGUCCUAAGUUGAGCUCAGUGAGGACAGAAAUCUCACGUUGAGGAUAAGGCCAAAAGCUCAAUUUACUGUGCCUUUUUGUACUAGGAUCAGUUACGAAAGUAAGGCCUAACGAUCCCUAAAUAGCCUCAGGUGCGUGAGGAUUGGGGUGACAGACAAGUUACCUCCGGGACAACUGGCUUGUGGCUGCUAAGAGAUCAAAUCAACGCAGCUUUUUGAUUCUUCGAUGUCGGCUCUUCCUAUCCUAGUGAUGUACAAGUUGCUAAGGGUCGGAUUGUUCACCCGUAUUAGGGAUCGUGAGCUGGGUUUAGACCGUCGUGAGCCAGGUUUGUUUUAUCCUACUGGAUAUAGCAUCAUGAUAGUAGAUUGAUUUAGUACGAGAGGAACUGUUGAUUAUGGCCUCUGGUUAGCGAUUAUCGGAAACGGUAUGUCGCGCAGCUACGCCGUCUGGGAUAAUGGCUGAAAGCCUCUUAAGCCAGAAGCCCAUCUAGAAAGUGAUGCACGUGAUGUUGGACCGAUACGAAUAAUCAUACUCAAAAGGUCCGCUUCAUAGGUAACCCAAUGUAGAAGACAUUGUGUGAACGAAGGUACUGUAAGCAGUGGAGUGGCAUUACGUCCACGACCUGUUGAGGUUCAGCUUCGCUUCUAGGUUUCC
rnacentral:ncRNA from 1 species